ACCCAGUCCACGAGAACCGGGCGGACCGC
rnacentral:sRNA from 1 species